rnacentral:rRNA from 1 species
GAUCCGUCUGUAGCAAUACAGGCGGGUCGGAGCGGCGCAAGGGUGCGUAACACGUGGGUAAUUUGCCGUAGAGUUCGGGAUAACUCGCUGAAAGGCGAGCUAAUACCGGAUGUGGUUACCGGGAGGCAUCUCCUGAUAACUAAAGCUGGGGACCUGGGUCACACCGGGCCUGGCGCUCUAUGAUAAGCCCGCGGCCUAUCAGCUAGUUGGUGAGGUAACGGCUCACCAAGGCUUAGACGGGUAGCUGGUCUGAGAGGACGACCAGCCACACUGGAACUGAGACACGGUCCAGACACCUACGGGUGGCAGCAGUCGAGAAUUUUUCUCAAUGGGCGCAAGCCUGAAGGAGCGACGCCGCGUGGGGGAUGAAGGGUUUCGAUCCGUAAACCCCUGUCAUUUGUGAACAAGGUUCAUCCGUUAAUAGCGGGUGAAUUGAUAGUAAUGAAAGAGGAAGGGACGGCUAACUCUGUGCCAGCAGCCGCGGUAAUACAGAGGUCCCAAGCGUUGUUCGGAUUCACUGGGCGUAAAGGGUGCGUAGGUGGCAUGUUAAGUUUGAUGUGAAAGCUCAGGGCUUAACCCUGAAAUGGCAUUGAAUACUAGCGUGCUGGAGGUUUGGAGGGGGGACUGGAAUUCUCGGUGUAGCAGUGAAAUGCGUAGAUAUCGAGAGGAACACCAGUGGC